rnacentral:rRNA from 1 species
CCUACGGGAGGCAGCAGUGGGGGAUAUUGCACAAUGGGGGAAACCCUGAUGCAGCGACGCCGCGUGGGUGAAGAAGUAUUUCGGUAUGUAAAGCCCUAUCAGCAGGGAAGAAAGAAGACGGUACCUGACUAAGAAGCCCCGGCUAACUACGUGCCAGCAGCCGCGGUAAUACGGAGGGGGCGAGCGUUAUCCGGAUUCACUGGGUGUAAAGGGAGCGUAGGCGGCCGUGCAAGCCAGGAGUGAAAGCCCGGGGCCCAACCCCGGGACUGCUGUUGAAACUGUGCGGCUGGAGUGCGGGAGGGGCAGGCGGAAGGCCUGGUGUAGCGGUGAAAUGCGUAGAUAUCAGGAGGAACACCGGCGGCGAAGGCGGCCUGCUGGACCGCGACUGACGUUGAGGCUCGAAAGCGUGGGGAGCGAACAGGAUUAGAUACCCCUGUAGUC